rnacentral:rRNA from 1 species
CCCUUAGACGUUCUGGGCCGCACGCGCGCUACACUGACCAGUGCAACAAGCAUCCGUCCUUGGCCGACAGGCCCGGGCAAUCUUUGAACGCCGGUCGUGAUGGGGAUAGACUUUUGCAAUUUUUGGUCUUCAACGAGGAAUUCCUAGUAAACGCAAGUCAUCAACUUGCAUUGAUUACGUCCCUGCCCUUUGUACACACCGCCCGUCGCACCUACCGAUUGAAUGGUCCGGUGAAGCCUCCGGAUUGGCGCGCACCUCGGUGCCGCCGAGAAGUUGGCUAAACCUUACCAUUUAGAGGAAGGUGAANUCGUANCA